rnacentral:rRNA from 1 species
GCAGUUAAAAAGCUCGUAGUUGGGUGAGGGGAUGAAGUGAGAUUAGGUGAGGGGGAAACUUCUUACUGAGUCUAUUCGUCUCAAUAUGAAGGGAAUUGUGGGUAGAUGACCUUAACUGGUUGUUUAUCUUACACCCUUCCGUUGACCGUGCUUAAAUUCGCGUGUUCAAAGCAAGCAAUUCAUACGCUUGUAGAGUCUAGCAUGGGAUCAUUUAAUAUGGAUGAGAAAGAUAUCUUUCAAUCUUUCUCUCAAUGACAAAUAGGGGCAAGCGGGGGUGGAGGGACUCCGUUGUUAGAGGUGAAAUUCUUAGACCAACGGAAGACCAACAGAAGCCAAAGCGUCCAUCAAGGGUGUGCCCAUUGAUCAAGAACGAAAGUUAGGGGAUCAAAUACGAUCAGACACCGUAGUAGUCCUAACCUUAAACGAUACCGACCGGGGAUGGGAUGAGACAAAGAAAACAUAUCCAUUCUGUACCCUACGAGAAAUCAAGAGUGUUUGGGUUCCGGGGGGAGUACGGUCGCAAGGCUGAAACUUAAAGGAAUUGACGGAAAGGCAAACAAGAAGUGGAACCUGCGGCUUCCAAUUCGACUCAACACGGGAAAACUUACCAGGUCCAGACAUGGGAAGGAUUGACAGAUUGAUAG